GACGAACGCUGGCGGCGCGCCUAACACAUGCAAGUCGAACGAGCGAGCGGAGGUUUACUUUCUCAAGCGAGUGGCGAACGGGUGAGUAACGCGUGAGGAACCUGCCUCAAAGAGGGGGACAACAGUGGGAAACGACUGCUAAUACCGCAUAAGCCCACGACCCGGAUUCGGGUAGAGGGAAAAGGGGCAGUCCGCUUUGAGAUGGCCUCGCGUCCGAUUGUGUAGUUGGUGAGGUAAUGGCCCACCAAGGCGACGAGCGGGAGCCGGACGGAGUUGUGGCACGGCUGCGUUGGGACUGCGGCACGGCCCACACUCCUACGGGGGGGAGCAGUGGAGAAUAUUGCACGAGGGAGGAAACCCUGAUGCAGCGGCGUCGCGUGGAGGAAGAAGGUCUUCGGAUUGUAAACUCGUGUUGUUGGGGAAGAUAAUGACGGUACUCAACAAAGAAGUGACGGCUAACUACGUG
rnacentral:rRNA from 1 species